AUUGAACGCUGGCGGCAUGCUUUACACAUGCAAGUCGAACGGUAACAGGGUGCUUGCACCGCUGACGAGUGGCGAACGGGUGAGUAAUGCGUCGGAACGUGCCGAGUAGUGGGGGAUAACGCAGCGAAAGUUGUGCUAAUACCGCAUACGUACUGAGGUAGAAAGUGGGGGACCUUCGGGCCUCACGCUAUUCGAGCGGCCGACGUCUGAUUAGCUAGUAGGUGAUGUAAAGGCUCACCUAGGCGACGAUCAGUAGCGGGUCUGAGAGGAUGAACCGGCAAGCUGGGGCUGAGACACGCCCCGGACUCGUCAGGGAGGCAGCAGUGGGGAAUUUUGAACAAUGGGCGAAAGCCUGAUCCAGCCAUGCCGAGUGUCUGAAGAAGGCCUUCGGGUUGUAAAGGACUUUUGUCAGGGAGGAAAUCCCUAGUGCUAAUAACACUGGGGGAUGACAGUACCUGAAGAAUAAGCACCGGCUAACUACGUGCCAGCCGCCGCCGUAA
rnacentral:rRNA from 1 species